CCCCUCCCAGGGUCACACCUGGAGAGUUUCCAGUACUCUACUAGUCUUGGCUGUGGGAGGGAGAAUCGAGCAGAGGCCUAUCUAUUCCGCUCCUAGACUGGUCAGCGGCUAGUGAGUGGAAGGCAAUCUGCUACAAGU